GACGAACGCUGGCGGCGUGCUUAACACAUGCAAGUCGAACGGUGAAGGGACCGGUUUUUGCUGGUUCUGGAUGAGUGGCGAACGGGUGAGUAACACGUGAGUAACCUGCCCCCUUCUUCUGGAUAACCGCAUGAAAGUGUGGCUAAUACGGGAUAUUCUGCGCCUGCUGCAUGGUGGGUGUGGGAAAGAUAUUGUUUCGGUGGGGGAUGGGCUCGCGGCCUAUCAGCUUGUUGGUGGGGUGAUGGCCUACCAAGGCGGUGACGGGUAGCCGGCCUGAGAGGGUGGACGGUCACACUGGGACUGAGACACGGCCCAGACUCCUACGGGAGGCAGCAGUGGGGAAUAUUGCACAAUGGGCGCAAGCCUGAUGCGGCGACGCCGCGUGAGGGAUGGAGGCCUUCGGGUUGUAAACCUCUUUCGCCAGUGAAGCAGGCCUGUCCCUUUUGUGGGUGGGUUGACGGUAGCUGGAUAAGAAGCGCCGGCUAACUACGUG
rnacentral:rRNA from 1 species